CUUCGAAAAAAUGCCGUCAGUUCGCCACCCUGUCCGACGUGUAUGACACCCACGGUUCCGAGGAUGGAACAACCCAUUAUGGUCUUCACGUCGGGACGCAAGGAUGCCAAUAAACGUAGGGCGUCCUGACAUGACGUCAGCCGGUCACCAUCGGAUAAAGUGGAUUUUGUAGUUUGUGUGAGGUCUGCAUCCACUGGGUCCUCCAAAUUAAGCAUCUAGUCUGAGCCAGCUUAUUUUAAGUGGCCCAGAAUCAUGUGAGUUGGACCAAAAAGCACUUAUACACUUUAAUAUGUUUACUGUACAAUGCUAUGGUCUUUUUUUCUGUUAUUUAUAG